UACGUAGGGGGCAAGCGUUGUCCGGAAUUAUUGGGCGUAAAGAGCGUGUAGGCGGUCCGGUAAGUCGGCUGUGAAAGUCCAGGGCUCAACCCUGGGAUGCCGGUCGAUACUGCCGGACUAGAGUCCGGAAGAGGCGAGUGGAAUUCCCGGUGUAGCGGUGAAAUGCGCAGAUAUCAGGAAGAACACCUAUGGCGAAGGCAGCUCUCUGGGCCGUAACUGACGCUGAGGAGCGAAAGCGUGGGGAGCGAACAGG
rnacentral:rRNA from 1 species